AAUCUCAAGCAGUGUUUUCCGCUUCGGACCAUGCCUAAGUCCCUUGGAAAAGGGCAUCAUAGAGGGUGAUAAUCCCGUACAUGGCAUGGAGCGCCCGAAGCUUUGUGAUACGCUUUCUAAGAGUCGAGUUGUUUGGGAAUGCAGCUCAAAAUGGGUGGUAAAUGCCAUCUAAGGCUAAAUAUUGGGGAGAGACCGAUAGCGAACAAGUACAGUGAUGGAAAGAUGAAAAGAACUUUGAAAAGAGAGUUAAACAGUACGUGAAAUUGCCAAAAGGGAAGGGUAGGAGGUCAGAGAUGCGGCCUGGGAUUCAGCCUUGCUUUUGCUUGGUGUUUUUCCCAGAUUGCAGGCCAACGUCGGUUUUGGGCACUGGAGAAGGGUAGGAGGAACGUGGCACCUCUCGGGGUGUGUUAUAGCCUCCUACUGGAUACAGCGACCGAGACCGAGGACAGCAGCGUACUCGCAAGAGCGGGCCUUCGGGCACCUUUACGCUUAGGGCGUUGGCAUAAUGGCCCUCUACCACCCGUCUUG
rnacentral:rRNA from 1 species